GACGAACGCUGGCGGCGUGCUUAACACAUGCAAGUCGAGCGGUAAGGCCUUUCGGGGUACACGAGCGGCGAACGGGUGAGUAACACGUGGGUGAUCUGCCCUGCACUUCGGGAUAAGCCUGGGAAACUGGGUCUAAUACCGGAUAUGACCUCCUAUCGCAUGGUGGGUGGCGGAAAGAUUUAUCGGUGCAGGAUGGGCCCGCGGCCUAUCAGCCUGUUGGUGGGGUAAUGGCCUACCAAGGCGACGACGGGUAGCCGACCUGAGAGGGUGACCGGCCACACUGGGACUGAGACACGGCCCAGACUCCUACGGGAGGCAGCAGUGGGGAAUAUUGCACAAUGGGCGAAAGCCUGAUGCAGCGACGCCGCGUGAGGGAUGACGGCCUUCGGGUUGUAAACCUCUUUCAGCAGGGACGAAGCGCAAGUGACGGCACCUGCAGAAGAAGCACCGGCUAACUACGUG
rnacentral:rRNA from 1 species